CCUACGGGAGGCUGCAGUGGGGGAUAUUGCACAAUGGGGGAAACCCUGAUGCAGCGACGCCGCGUGGGGGAAGACGGUCCUCUGGAGUGUAAACCACGGUCGCAAGGGACGAAGAUGACGGUACCUGGGGAGGAAGCACCGGCUAACUACGUGCCAGCAGCCGCGGUAAUACGUAGGGAGCGAGCGGGGUCCGGAAUUACGGGGGGUAAAGGGUGCGGAGGCGGGUCUGCAAGUUGGGUGUCAAAUCUCCCGGCUCAACCGGUAGCCGCACUCAAAACUGCAGUUCUUGAGUGAAGUAGAGGCAGGCGGAAUUCCUAGUGUAGCGGUGAAAUGCGUAGAUAUUAGGAGGAACACCAGUGGCGAAGGCGGCCUGCUGGGCUUUUACUGACGCUGAGGCUCGAAAGUGUGGGGAGCAAACAGGAUUAGAUACCCUGGUAGUC
rnacentral:rRNA from 1 species